AGGGCACCACCAGGAGUGGAGCCUGCGGCUUAAUUUGACUCAACACGGGGAAACUUACCCGGCCUGGACACUGGAAGGAUUGACAGAUUGAGAGCUCUUUCUUGAUUCAGUGGGUGGUGGUGCAUGGCCGUUCUUAGUUGGUGGAGCGAUUUGUCUGGUUAAUUCCGAUAACGAACGAGACUCUAGCCUAUUAAAUAGGCUCUCGGCUUUUAAACGCCGGGAGGACUUCUUAGAGGGACAGGUGGCGGUUCAGCCGCACGAAAGAGAGCAAUAACAGGUCUGUGAUGCCCUUUGUUGUCCGGGGCCGCACGCGCGCUACACUGAAGAGAUCAGCGUGCUUUACGUUCCUGCUCCGACCGGAGUGGGGAACCCAGUGAACCUUCUUCGUGAUUGGGAUAGAAGAUUGUAAUUAUUCUUCUUGAACGAGGAAUUCCCAGUAAAUGCGAGUCAUAAGCUCGCGUUGAUUACGUCCCUGCCCUUUGUACACACCGCCCGUCGCUACUACCGAUUGAACGAAUU
rnacentral:rRNA from 1 species